rnacentral:rRNA from 1 species
AACGAACGCUGGCGGCAUGCCUAACACAUGCAAGUCGAACGAGACCUUCGGGUCUAGUGGCGCACGGGUGCGUAACGCGUGGGAACCUUCCCUUAGGUUCGGAAUAACUCCCCGAAAGGGGUGCUAAUACCGGAUAAUGUCUUCGGACCAAAGAUUUAUCGCCUUUGGAUGGGCCCGCGUUGGAUUAGCUAUUUGGUAGGGUAAAAGCCUACCAAGGCGACGAUCCAUAGCUGGUCUGAGAGGAUGAUCAGCCACACUGGGACUGAGACACGGCCCAGACUCCUACGGGAGGCAGCAGUGGGGAAUAUUGGACAAUGGGCGAAAGCAUGAUCCAGCAAUGCCGCGUGAGUGAUGAAGGCCUUAGGGUUGUAAAGCUCUUUUAACCGGGAUGAUAAUGACAGUACCGGGAGAAUAAGCCCCGGCUAACUCCGUG